AGCUAUUUAGGUAGCGCCUCGUGAACUCAUCUCCGGGGGUAGAGCACUGUUUCGGCUAGGGGGCCAUCCCGGCUUACCAACCCGAUGCAAACUGCGAAUACCGGAGAAUGUUAUCACGGGAGACACACGGCGGGUGCUAACGUCCGUCGUGAAGAGGGAAACAACCCAGACCGCCAGCUAAGGUCCCAAAGUCAUGGUUAAGUGGGAAACGAUGUGGGAAGGCCCAGACAGCCAGGAUGUUGGCUUAGAAGCAGCCAUCAUUUAAAGAAAGCGUAAUAGCUCACUGGUCGAGUCGGCCUGCGCGGAAGAUGUAACGGGGCUAAACCAUGCACCGAAGCUGCGGCAGCGACACUGUGUGUUGUUGGGUAGGGGAGCGUUCUGUAAGCCUGUGAAGGUGGCCUGUGAGGGUUGCUGGAGGUAUCAGAAGUGCGAAUGCUGACAUAAGUAACGAUAAAGCGGGUGAAAAGCCCGCUCGCCGGAAGACCAAGGGUUCCUGUCCAACGUUAAUCGGGGCAGGGUGAGUCGACCCCUAAGGCGAGGCCGAAAGGCGUAGUCGAUGGGAAACGGGUUAAUAUUCCCGUACUUGGUGUUACUGCGAAGGGGGGACGGAGAAGGCUAUGUUGGCCGGGCGACGGUUGUCCCGGUUUAAGCGUGUAGGUGUGUGUUCCAGGUAAAUCCGGUUCACUUUAACACUGAGGCGUGACGACGAGGCACUACGGUGCUGAAGCAACAAAUGCCCUGCUUCCAGGAAAAGCCUCUAAGCAUCAGGUAACAUCAAAUCGUACCCCAAACCGACACAGGUGGUCAGGUAGAGAAUACCAAGGCGCUUGAGAGAACUCGGGUGAAGGAACUAGGCAAAAUGGUGCCGUAACU
rnacentral:rRNA from 1 species